rnacentral:rRNA from 1 species
UACGAAGGGGGCUAGCGUUGCUCGGAAUUACUGGGCGUAAAGGGCGCGUAGGCGGACAGUUUAGUCAGAGGUAAAAGCCCAGGGCUCAACCUUGGAACUGCCUUUGAUACUGGCUGUCUUGAGUUCGGAAGAGGGUCGUGGAAUUCCCAGUGUAGAGGUGAAAUUCGUAGAUAUUGGGAAGAACACCGGUGGCGAAGGCGGCGACCUGGUCCGAGACUGACGCUGAGGCGCGAAAGCGUGGGGAGCAAACAGG